rnacentral:lncRNA from 1 species
AUGUGUGCGUGGGUGUGGUGUGUGUGUGCUGUGUGUUCGGGUGAAGGAGAAGAAGAAGACAAUUGCUGUGUGAAGGAGAAGGAAUAACAGAAAUAAACCCAUAUAAUUAACACCCUCAAUACUAUUCACUUCAGUUUGUAGCUCAGGUACAGAUAUUUUGUCGCCUGCCCUUUCUGAAUGUCCGUUUGAGCUCAAACUUUACAGUCAGGCUCGGUUUUACUUAAUUUAACGAAAGAAAUUUUAAUCUUUCAGUUUCGACCACAUUUGGUCACCGAAAGCUCUACCGAACUGUAAUCUCUAGCAGAUAGCAGUCGGAUUUUAUUUCCACCUUCUGGGUGUCGGAUUGAUAUGAAACUUUAAAUCUAGCCUCAUAAAAAUAAUUUCGACAUAUUCUCCAGUUUUCAUAAUUUUCUAAUACUAUGCAUUUUCUGCUAAAAUAUCAGUCCCGUUUGGCACAGAAAAUUCUAAAUCUUCUGUUUUCGUUCCGAUUUCAGCACAAGUUAUUUCUGACUUAUAUUUUACUUCUCUAAAUCCAAUAAAAAUAGUAUCUCACACUAUUUUUAUUUAUUUUUACUUUUAUACCAAAAUCGGGUAUGCUACACUACCGCUCUCAACUUCACUGCGCACCUUUU